rnacentral:tRNA from 1 species
UGGCUCAGUGGUAGAGCAUGUGCUUAGCAUGCACGAGGUCCUGGGUUCAAUCCCCAA